rnacentral:rRNA from 1 species
UACAGAGGAGCCAAGCGUUGUCCGGAUUGACUGGGCGUAAAGCGCACGCAGGCGGUUUGGCGCGUGGGGUGUGAAAUCUGGCCGCUUAACGGCCAGGCGCCAUCCCAUACGGCUAGACUGGAGUGAUGCAGAGGUCGGUGGAAUUGCCGGUGUAGUGGUGAAAUGCGUAGAGAUCGGCAGGAACACCCAGGGGGGAAACCAGUCGACUGACGGCAUCGACUGACGCUGAGGUGCGAGAGCGUGGGGAGCGAACCGG